UACGUUGGUGGCGACCGGCGCACGGGUGAGUAACGCGUAUGCAACCUACCUAUCAGAGGGGAAACUAACCGGCGAAAGUCCGGACUAAUACCGCAUAAAACAGGGACACCGCAUGGUGAUAUUUGUUAAAGAAAUUCGCUGAUAGAUGGGCAUGCGUUCCAUUAGGUAGUUGGUGAGGUAACGGCUCACCAAGCCGACGAUGGAUAGGGGAACUGAGAGGUUGGUCCCCCACACUGGUACUGAGACACGGACCAGACUCCUACGGGAGGCAGCAGUGAGGAAUAUUGGUCAAUGGGCGAGAGCCUGAACCAGCCAAGUCGCGUGAAGGAAGAAGGACCUAUGGUUCGUAAACUUCUUUUGCAGGGGAAUAAAGUGCAGGACGUGUCCUGUUUUGUAUGUACCCUGAGAAUAAGGAUCGGCUAACUCCGUGCCAGCAGCCGC
rnacentral:rRNA from 1 species